rnacentral:rRNA from 1 species
CACGUAGGGGGCAAGCGUUGUCCGGAUUUAUUGGGCGUAAAGGGCUCGUAGGCGGCCAACUAAGUCGGAUGUGAAAUCCCCAGGCUCAACCUGGGAACUGCAUCCGAUACUGGAUGGCUUGAAUCCGGGAGAGGGAUGCAGAAUUCCAGGUGUAGCGGUGAAAUGCGUAGAUAUCUGGAGGAAUACCGGUGGCGAAGGCGGCAUCCUCGGACCGGCAUUGACGCUGAGGAGCGAAAGCUGAGGGGAG